UGGGGAAUAUUGGACAAUGGGCGCAAGCCUGAUCCAGCAAUGCCGCGUGUGUGAAGAAGGCCUGCGGGUUGUAAAGCACUUUCGGUGGGGAGAAAGAGGUUUGUAGUAAUACUACGAACGGAUGAUGUUACCCACAGAAGAAGCACCGGCUAACUCUGUGCCAGCAGCCGCGGUAAUACAGAGGGUGCGAGCGUUAAUCGGAAUUACUGGGCGUAAAGGGUGCGUAGGUGGUGACAUAAGUUAGAUGUGAAAUUCCCGGGCUUAACCUGGGGACUGCGCCUAAUACUGUGUGACUAGAGUCUUGUAGAGGAAGGUGGAAUUUCCGGUGUAGCGGUGAAAUGCGUAGAUAUCGGAAGGAACAUCAGUGGCGAAGGCGACCUUCUGGACAAAGACUGACACU
rnacentral:rRNA from 1 species